rnacentral:rRNA from 1 species
UUAGGAAUUGAAUAAGUAAUCUCGAGGUGAUAGGGGCUAUUACAUAUAGAUAUUGUUUUCGUGGUAAUGAAAUUUGGUAGUAUGUGAUAGGAAUGAAAUAUUAAUCGGCUAUUAGGAUAUCUAGUUAUUCAUGAAAUAGUAAAUACUAGUGGUGUUAAAAUUUAUAAGAUUAGUUAUAAGUUGUAAUAGGUUUGAUAAAAUAAGGAGACAUAGAUUGCUUUAAAGGUAAGUAUAAGUUAGUGUGUUAUUACAAGUGUCUAUAAAUGUGUGGAUUAAAACUCAAACUAGUGUGUAGUGAAUUAUUUUAUAUAGUAAGAAAAUAGAAAUUAUAAUGAUAGGAUGAGUAUGUGUUGUGUAGAAUGUAAAUAAAUAUAAUUAUUAAAAAUAGGAUAAGUGAAGUUAUUGGUAAAUAACUCGGCAAUAAAGUUCUAAAAUGUUUAACAAAAACAUUUCCUUUUAUGUGAAAGGUAAAUUCUGCCCGGUGUUGAAAUAAACGGCUGCGGUAUUCUGACCGUACGAAGGUAGCAAAAUAAAUAGUCUUUUAAUUGGGGACUGGAAUGAAAGAUUUAAUUAGGAACUUGCUUUUUUACUAGUAGUAAUAGAAUUUGAUUAAUAAGUUAAAAGGCUUAUAUACAUUAAAGUGACAAGAAGACCCUAAGAGUUUUACAGAUUAUAUUGUUUGAGGCAGUUGGAUGUAGAUGUUUUAUUUAAUAAAUUUUGUUUGACUGGGGCGGUUAAAAUUUUAUCUAUUUUGUUAGGGACUAAAAUAAUAGGGGCAAGUAAACUAUUAUCCUUUUUGGAAAGCAAAAUAAAUUACCUUAGGGAUAACAGCAUAAUCUUUUUUGAGAGAUCGUAUUGACAGAAAGGUUUGUGACCUCGAUGUUGGAUUUGAAUAACUUUUUGGAGCAGCAUUUUUACAAGUUGUCUGUUCGACCAUUAAUU